rnacentral:rRNA from 1 species
AAUGAACGCUGGCGGCAGGCCUAACACAUGCAAGUCGAACGGAUCCUUCGGGAUCAGUGGCGGACGGGUGAGUAACGCGUGGGAACAUACCCUUUGGUACGGAAUAGCCACGGGAAACUGGGAGUAAUACCGUAUGUGGUCGAGAGACGAAAGAUUUAUCGCCAAAGGAUUGGCCCGCGUUGGAUUAGGUAGUUGGUGGGGUAAUGGCCUACCAAGCCGACGAUCCAUAGCUGGUUUGAGAGGAUGAUCAGCCACACUGGGACUGAGACACGGCCCAGACUCCUACGGGAGGCAGCAGUGGGGAAUCUUAGACAAUGGGGGAAACCCUGAUCUAGCCAUGCCGCGUGAUCGAUGAAGGCCUUAGGGUUGUAAAGAUCUUUCAGGUGGGAAGAUAAUGACUGUACCACCAGAAGAAGCCCCGGCUAACUCCGAGCCAGCCGCCGCCGUAAUAC